rnacentral:lncRNA from 1 species
UUUUUUUUUAUUUUUAAUUUUUUUUGUCUUUUUCUAGAGAACAGUUUAUUUUUUUAAUUUUUAUUUUAUUUUUGUGUUUUUCUAGGUAAGUGGAUUUAGUGAUUACCCAGGGUUUCAAUACCAGUGAUGUAACGUUACUGUAAGGCAGAACAUUAUUGUGAAAACUUUCUGUUGAGAGAUGCCUGGAGGAUGCCUCUGUUGAGGAGGUAAACUCAAACCCUAGCUUCCCAACCCCAUGGUCCUCUUCCUCAGGUCUUGCACUAGACCAGGUGGUGGUGGGCAUGCAAAUCCCUUUUGGGAAAGACCAGAAGAAGAGGGUCAUGGGGUUUGGGAAGUGGUGCCUCUUCCCUUCCUAGGGUUUGAGUUUGCCUCUGGGCUUGGGGAGAAAGCCCUGCAGUACCUGAGCCGUGUCAACCUGGAACGGGGGAGAAGGCAGCGUAGACUUGCUCUUGUUGGGCAAAGACAUAAAUGAUGGCGUCCGAGCGACAUCACUAGAAAGGAAAUGCUUACAGCGUGUCAGGUACUAUUUGAAUCAUUUUAUGUUUAAGUCUUUCUCACAGCCUAUGACGCUGUCAUUUCUGUAGGUCAGAGCUGGUAAAAUAUUGUCACUUCGACAUAGUUUACAGAUUUUCCACCUUAAGAUGUGAACAAAAGAUUUUUUAAUAAUGACCCAACGUCCCAAAGCUAAUGGGUGGCUGUACAGAUCAAGUGUUCUUGCAGGAACAAAAGGCACCUUCAGAAGGGGAUGACUGAGACAUUAAUGAAAGACUGCUUACAGAUGGGGUUAAAUGAAAUCAACAAGGAUAGAGGAAGUUUCUGGAAAAGCCAUCUUAAAGCAGUCCAGUGGGCACUGGGAGGUGGCUGGAGCUGGAAGCAGGGGGGUGAAGUGUGUGUGUGUGUCUGUGUUUAGGACGGGUGACUUAGAAGUCACCUCUCAGUGUGCUGGUCUUAUAGAUGGUGCCAGUACAAAAGGACUGAGGUCAGGUGUUUAUUCUUUAUAAUAUACAAUGCCUGUCAAAAAUUUUUGCAGGAGCCAUUCCGAGCACAGCAUGGACCACUGCAAGGGAUUGACAGCUAGAUAUUAGUCACGAGUUCUUAAAUACCAUCCAUUUAUCAUCAGCCCUUAAUUAAUGGGGAUCCUUCUGCCCAGAACACGCAGUGAGACUUCUGCCUCCUCUUUAUCCCCUGCCCCCUGCCGGGUCACACUGAGGAGGAAGGAGAAUGACAUGCAAACAUGAUGUCCAAGUUUGAAGAAGCCACCUGUAGCCAGAGCAGCCAGUUCUUGGUAAGUGUCCGGAUACUGUCAGUCAAGCCCGACUUCCCUCUCAACUUUUCAUCUUUACACUGUCUCUUGCCAACCUCUGUUCCCUCUGUUCCAGCUGCCCCCUUCCUCCACUGGCUCCCAUCCGCUAACCCUGAUGGAUGGAAAAUACUUUCUCAGAAGUGACUAGAAGAAACCUGAGAAAUGACUCUUGCACAAGGAAGCCAGGCUGCCCACCCCAUUUGAGGAUGUGUUCAAUCCUAAGGAUAACUCACCUAUUUUAUUGUAUUUUAUUUUUUGGCUGUACCGAUGGCCUGUGGAAGUUCCUAGGUCAGGGUUGAAACUGCACCACAGCAGUGCCAAUGCCAGAUCUUUAGCCCACUGUAUCACCACGGAACUCUGCACCCAUUUUAAAAUCUAAGAACAUCCCAACCAAUGCCCAUGGCGCCCACAGCUGGCUUGACUUCCCCAGAUGCUCCUGAUAAUCUAAUUCUCUCCUAACAUAAGAGGUAAUGUCAUGCUUCAUGCUUCAAAUGGACCAUCCCUGUAUCUUUUUUUCAGGAAACACUCCUUCACCUUAAAUUCAAGUGUUUAAAAGUUCAAAGCACUUAAUGUUUGCACAUAAAGUGAAUUUUAGAUUACAUUCUUUUUUGGAGAGAGUCACAUAACGGGCUGUUACAAAUUCAUUCCAAAAAGCAACUUUCAGAUUCUGUCCUGAGGUCAGUAACAUACAUUCCCUUUGCCUCCUGUACUUACAACUCUGUAAUUACAACUCAAGAAAUAAUAUAUGAGGAUUCUGAUACAUGGAAAGAUCCUGAAAAAGUGUUUUGAAUUAUUAAAGAAGAAAUCAUUCAUAGUAUUGGCAUGAAGUAUAUUACACAGUACUGUCAGCCUUUGAACAUUGCUAAGUCAUGUGUGACAUAUACGGUAUAAAGAAAUCAGACUACUCUGUUCUACCUAUUUCUGCUAGUUGAGAAGUUUUAUACAAAAAAUUCAUUUAAUAAUUCUGACACCUGUGGUCAAUUAAUCUUUGACAAAGGAAGCAAAGAAUAUAAAAUGAGAAAAAGACAGUCUUUUCAGCAAGUGGAGCUGGGAAAACUGGACAGCAACAUGUAAAUCAGUGAAACUAGAACACACCCUCACACCAUGCACAAAAAUAAAUAACACUGUAAAUCAGCUAUAAUAGAAAAGAUAAAAAUCAUUAUAAAAAUGGCCUAAAGACUUAAACAUAAGACAUCAUAAAACUAGAAGAGAACAUAGGCAAAAUAUUCUCUGACAUCAACUGUGUAAAUGUUUCCUUAGGUCAGUCUCCCAAGGCAAGAGAAGUAAAAGCAAAAAUAAUGGGACCUAAUCAAACGUAAAAGCUUUUGCACAGCAAAGGAAAUAAAACCCCAAAAAGACACCCUAUGGAAUGGGAGAACAUAGUUGCAAAUGAUACAACGAACAAGGGCUUAAUCCCCAAAAUAUACAAACAACUCAUACAACUCAACAGCAAAAACAAAAACAAAAAGCAAAAAAACCUGAACAACAACAACAAAAACAACCCAAAUGAAAAAUGGGCAGAAAACCUAGAUAUUUCUCCAAAGAAGAUAUACAGAUAGCCAACAAACACAUGAAAAAAAUGCUCAACAUCACUAAUUAUUAGAGAAAUGUAGAUCAAAACUACAAUGAGGUACCAUCUCACACUGGUCAGAACAGCUAUCAUUAAUAAGUCUACAAAUAACAAGUGCUAGAGAGGGUGUGGAGAAAAGGGAACCCUACUUCUCUGUUGGUGGGAAUGUAGACUGGUACAACCAUUAUGGAAAACAGUAUGGAGGUUCCUCAGAGAACUAAAUAUAGAACUACCAGAAGUUUCAGUAAUCCCACUCCUGGGCAUAUAUCUGGAUAAAAAAACUUUCAUUCUAAAAGAUACAUGCACCACUAUAUUCAUUCCAGCACUAUUCACAAUAGCCAAGACAUGGAAACAGCCUAAAUGUCCAUUGACAGAUGAAUGGAUUAAGAAGAUGUGGUAUAUAUACACAAAGGAAUACUACUCAGCCAUAAAAAAGAAAAUACCAUUUGCAGCAACAUGGAUAGAACUAGAGAUUCUCAUACUAAGUGAAGUAAGUCAGAAAGAGAAAGACAAAUACCAUAUGAUAUCACUUAUAUGUGGAAUCUAAAAUGUGGCACAAAUGAACCUAUCUACAAAACAGAAACAAACUCAUGGGCAGAGAACAGACUUGUGGUUGCCAAGCAGGAGGGGGAGGGAGUGGGAUGGACUGGGAGUUUGGGGUUAGUAGAUGCAAACUGUUGCAUUUGGAGUGAAUAAGCAAUGAGAUCCUGCUGUAUAGCUUAGAGAACUACAUCCAAUCCCUUGUGAUGGAAAAUAAUGGAAGAUAUGAGAAAAAGAAUGUAUACACAUACACACACACACACACACAUACAUAUAUAUAACUUGGGUGUCACUUUGCUGUACAGCAGAAAUUGACAGGACACUGUCAAUCAACUAUAAUAAACAUUUUUUUUAAUUUAAAAAAGAUUUUUAAAAAGUCAAAAAAAAAUUGGAAGAACUACUGGAUAAGAAACUCAAUCCAGGAGUUCCUGUUGUGGCUCAGUGGGUUGAGGACCUAAUGUGGUCUCUGUGAGGAUGCAGGUUUGAUCCCUGGUCUCACUCAGUGGAUGAAGGACCCGGCAUUGCCACAAGCUGUGGCAUAGUCCACAGAUGUGGACUGGAUCUGGGGUUGCUGUGGCACCUGCAGCUCCAAUUUGACCCCUAGCCCGGGAACGUCCAUAUGCCGGGGUGCGGCCAGUCGUUGCACCUCUGGGUUUUUCUGUUACCACCUCUAGAGAGGAGAUGCGCUACGACCUCCAAGUUAUAAAAAUCCUCCUGUCAUCCCCACCCUUCUCUUUAGAGCCCAAACUUUGGACUUCAGCUGCAGCUCCUUCUGGGGGUGGGUGUUGCCAUCAGAAGCCCUUUGGUGACCCUCGGUCACUUGUACUGGCAUUGUCACUCUUGGGACAUUUCCCUUAGACUUCUGCUGGUCUCUGUUAAACCAUCAUUUAGUUAACACUCCCGCAGUUACAGAGCAGAGGACAGAACCGGCAGCAGAUGGUAUCUGGAAGCAUAAAGUGACAGACCUGGGAACAUUCCUGGGUGAGAAGCUUCUAUUUCCAGAGUCCUGCUCCUCACCCGGUUCCAGCUCCUUUAUCUGGUGAAGUUCCACAUCCUUUAAGGAUCAAGUCCAAUGUCACUUCUACCUCACUUGGGAGAGGUUCUUUCUCCUCUGGGCUCCUAAUUUUUACCCACCACUGUCACAUCUGUCAUCACCUCCUAUUGCAUAUUGAUUUUUUGCCUGCUUGCUCACCUCUUUAGGAAUAUCCUUACAAGUGGCCACGAUUGGUUCUUCUCUAGGGUAGCUUAUUUCCAGGCUCUGUGAGCCUGUGUGUAAGGCCUGCCUUGGGUGAUUAUAACAAACAAAUGCUGAAGCCCUUUUGGGUGCAUCAUUUCAAUCUUUUAAAGAUGAUUUCUGGUGCUUCCCUCCUUGGGAACUUUCUACUUUCCUGUCACUUUGGUGAUUCUUAUCAGUGUUCCCUGGUAGACAAUUAAUGGUAUGAUUUUUUUGACCAAUUAGCUCAGGAAGCUCAGACUUCAGCAUCUUAAAAAAAAAAAAAAAAUCCCCAAGUGGAGUUCCCGUCGAGGCUCAGUGGUUAACGAAUUUGACUAGGAACCAUGAGGUUGUGGGUUCGAUCCCUGGCCUCGCUCAGUGGGUUAAGGAUCCGGCGUUACUGUGAGCUGUGGUGUAGGUCGCAGAUGUGGCUUGGAUCCCACUUUGCUGUGGCUGUGGCGUAGGCUGGUGGCUACAACUCCGAUUAGACCCUUAGCCUGGGAACCUCCAUAUGCCAUGGGCGUGGCCCUAGAAAAGCCAAAAAAAAGAAAAAAAAAAAGAAAAAGAAAAAAGGAAAAAAAAAAUCCCCAAAUAAUAACCAGCUCAAGAAUACAAAUGUUCUAUGCAGUUCUGGAAUGCUAUCACUUAUUGACUCUAUUCAUUAAAAAAAAAAGGUGCAUGCAAAUCUAAAAUCCCCACACAGAAAAUGGAACUAAUCCACAAAUAAGUGCGUGCCUCAUACACACCUACAUACCAACAAGUAACACGAGAAUCAUAGGAACCUGCAUGUGUAGGUUCUGGAUUCAUCUGGAUUCAUGCUGAACAUUGCUAAGCAUUGUGCCAGCUGCUUCACAGGCCCAGUAUCUUUGACACUAUCCUUGAAAUUCAUGAUGGCAUGAGGGUCAUCACACAUAAGCAUUUUCUUUUUGUCCCUCUGAACAAAGUGAACAUUGACCCGGAUACAGGGAAGGAUCCUAGCUGGGGUCACUCACAUCGCUUGAAUCAUAACAAGAGAAAGACUUUUGCAGUCUCCGAACUUUUUUCAAGCAGAAGCAAGCAGCUGUUCCUGAGAUAAAGCAGUGUGAGUUCUCAUAUACAGAGUUAGUGAUGCAUGGCAUUGAGGGGAGAGGUGAGGGGGGAACUCAAUCAUUGCAUCAAACUGCCGUUUUCAAUUUUACAAAGAACUCUUGCAUGUGUUCUUAUUUGAUAAUAGCCUCACAGAAUCAAAGGCUUUUCACCAUAGCAACCUUAGUAGUUGGCCCUUUUUAACAUUGAAGAAACUGAGGCUCAAAUGCUUAAGUGACUCCCUUAGAGUGACAAAACUAGUUAAGUGGUAGGAGAUGGGAUUACUGAGUCCAGGGUCUACAGGUUUAGCUUUUGUUUUUUUAGGACAUGCUUGCUUAAAGAAAGACAGCACUAGUGAGAGACAGUUUUACACAGAGGAAAGCAAAAAUUGAGCCAACCACAGAAGCACCCUCUUUCAAUUAUACAGUGGUUAACACUUAAAAUUACUUUCCCAGUAUCCUAAAUGACUGCCCUUACAAAGCAAAUGCACUGCCUAAACCAUGGCUGCAUGCUUUUUCUUUACUUGGAAGGAUCUCUCAGAGAGCAUUACUAAAAAUAACUUCAUUAUCUGUAAUAGAAACUCAUCUAUCACCAUUCUAAUUAGAAUGUGACUAAAGAAAUCAGUAGUGAACAAAGGCGUUUUGGACAUUUGGUGCCUAUAAUGAUGGCUUUGAAGUUCCAGGGAAAAGUCAGUUUUCCAAAUGUCUCCUCAUUUAUAUCUCUCACUCGCCAUUCUUCUCAGUUCUCAAAGAAACUGUUUUUAAAUAUAUAUAAUAAUGGUAAUAGACAUUUGCAGAAACUGGAAAAAUAGAACAGCACAAAGAAGGAAAAAAAAACUUAUAUGCUCUCCUCUCAGAGAAAAUCACUACUAUUUUGAUGUGCCUGAGCAUUUUCUGCACAGAUAAGCAUUUCUGCCUACUUAGCACCAUAGUGUAUAAACUCUUUUGUUACCCACUUUCACACUUAUUAGAAUUAUUUCCUCCAUCAGGUAGAUAUUCUACAGUUUUUGGUGGUUGCACAGUAUUCUACUUACUAAAUUGCAUUAUUUAUAAAUUUUCCACUUCACUGAAUAGUUACUGAUUUUUAUGAGCAACCGUGCUAAAUAGCCUUGUAUAUUAAUUUCUGCAAACCUGUCAUAUUGAAGAAAAAUUCCCAGAAACAGAUUUGCUGGGUCAAAUCUUUAGGCAAAAUUUAAGAAUAUACAUCUUGGGAGUUCCCGUCGUGGCGCAGUGGUUAACGAAUCCGACUAGGAAACAUGAGGUUGUGGGUUCGGUCCCUGCCCUUGUUUAGUUGGUUAACGAUCCGGCAUUGCUGUGAGCUGUGGUGUAGGUUGCAGACGUGGCUCAGAUCCCGCGUUGCUGUGGCUCUGGCAUAGGCCAGUGGCUACAGCUCCGAUUCGACCCCUAGCCUGGGAACCUCCAUAUGCCGCGGGAGCGGCCCAAAGAAAUAGCAAAAAG